rnacentral:rRNA from 1 species
UGGGGAAUUUUCCGCAAUGGGCGAAAGCCUGACGCAGCCACGCCGCGUGCAGGAAGACACCCCUCAGGGGCGUAAACUGCUUUUGUACGAGAAGAACACCUCCCUUCGAGGAGGUCUGACGGUAUCGUACGAAUAAGGACCGGCUAACUCCGUGCCAGCAGCCGCGGUAAUACGGAGGGUCCAAGCGUUGUCCGGAAUCACUGGGUGUAAAGGGUGCGCAGGCGGGCGUGUAAGUCAGGGGUGAAAGCCACCGGCCUAACCGGUGAAUUGCCCUUGAUACUGCACGUCUUGAGUCCCGGAGAGGCUAUCAGAAUUCGUGGUGUAGCGGUGAAAUGCGUAAAUAUCACGAGGAAUACCUGAUGCGUAGGCGGAUAGCUGGACGGGUACUGACGCUCAGGCACGAAAGCGUGGGUAGCGAACAGGAUUAGAUACCCGGGUAGUCC